rnacentral:rRNA from 1 species
ACUUAGUGGCGGACGUGUGAGUAACGCGUGGAUAACCUGCCUUACACUGGGGGAUAACACUUAGAAAUAGGUGCUAAUACCGCAUAAGCGCACGGAGCCGCAUGGCUCAGUGUGAAAAACUCCGGUGGUGUAAGAUGGAUCCGCGUCUGAUUAGCUGGUUGGCGGGGUAGAAGCCCACCAAGGCGACGAUCAGUAGCCGGCCUGAGAGGGUGACCGGCCACAUUGGGACUGAGACACGGCCCAAACUCCUACGGGAGGCAGCAGUGGGGAAUAUUGCACAAUGGGGGAAACCCUGAUGCAGCAACGCCGCGUGAGUGAAGAAGUCAUUCGUGAUGUAAAGCUCUAUCAGCAGGGAAGAAAAUGACGGUACCUGAGUAAGAAGCCCCGGCUAACUACGUGCCAGCAGCCGCGGUAAUACGUAGGGGGCAAGCGUUAUCCGGAUUUACUGGGUGUAAAGGGAGCGUAGACGGCCAGACAAGUCUGAAGUGAAAAUCCAGCGCUUAACGUUGGAAGUGCUUUGGAAACUGCCGGGCUAGAGUGCAGGAGGGGCAGGCGGAAUUCCUAGUGUAGCGGUGAAAUGCGUAGAUAUUAGGAGGAACACCAGUGGCGAAGGCGGCCUGCUGGACUGCAACUGACGUUGAGGCUCGAAGGCGUGGGGAGCAAACAGGAUUAGAUACCCUGGUAGUCCACGCGGUAAACGAUGAUUACUAGGUGUCGGGGGGCUAGAGCCCUUCGGUGCCGUC